AUGAAAUCGUAAAUGUUUGUAUUAUACAAAUUACAUUGUUAACAAUCUUAUGUGAGUACAACUUGAGUUUACAAACACAAGAAAAGCCUAUAAAAUAAUGAAAACGUCACAAUUUCACAUUUUUUUUGGAUGUACUUGUCUCUCCGUAUAGACUCUUCAAAAAUAUUGUUGUGCCUAUGAUGGAUUCUCCAAAAACGCACUAUUUUUGAAGGAUCCAACACAUAGCAAAAGACAUAAUUGAAAAGUCGGAGCAACAAACUGGUGAUAGCUCCAACAACAAAAUCUAUAUACAUUUCUCUGUUCAACAAUAUAACUCUGUAUGUGUUGAGGAUAACUUCUUUUAACAAAAAAUUUCACUCUCCAAACGUAGUAGAAUGCCAGAAAUGUGAGAAGCCAUGUAGUGAGAAGUUGUAAUGGGGGGGUACGCAAACUGCUCAGCUCCUUUUAAAGGGGAACCUAAGCUGACUUGGUUGUCGAUGGCUGCAAAGGUUCCUGUAGUGUAAGAUUGACUGGAAAUAGCAUACAUUGUGCAUAUUGAGUCAUCAACUGAUCCACGAGCACUAGGGCGACCAUUGCUUCCACCAUCGGAACAGCUCGUGGAACCACACAAGGAUCAUGGCGA
rnacentral:misc_RNA from 1 species